AAGGGCAAAACCUUACUCUGUAGACAGUAAUGGUAAAAUCAAUGCAUUUGUUGGGACUGUACUACAAAACAUGUGAAAAGGAGUUCCAAUGCAAUGCAACAUCCAAACGAUAGCAUCUAACAACCUAAUAGUACAUAACUAGAAACACAUCGCUCACAACAUAUACAAAACUAAUAUGGAAUCCAGCUGGUCCUUGAUCAAGGCUUUGGGCCAAUAGUAUACCAUAUAUCACAAG
rnacentral:lncRNA from 1 species